rnacentral:rRNA from 1 species
ACCAAAGGCGAAGGCAUUGCACUGGGCUAGCACUGACCCUGAGAGACGAAAGCGUGGGGAGCAAAACGGAUUAGAUACCCGUGUAGUCCACGCCCUAAACGAUGAAUGCUAAAUGUUCGGGGAUUCGACCCCCUGGGUGUUACAGCUAACGCGUUAAGCAUUCCGCCUGGGAAGUACGGCCGCAAGGCUAAAACUCAAAGGAAUAGACGGGGAUCCGCACAAGCGGUGGAGCGUCUGGUUUAAUUCGACAGUAAGCGUGGUACCUCACCAGGGUUUGACAUCCCUUGACAGCCUUGGAAACAAGGUUUCCUUCGGGCAAGGUGACAGGUGCUGCAUGGUCGUCGUCAGUUCGUGCCGUGAGGUGUUCCGUUAAGUCGGGAAACGAACGAAACCCCUAUUGCAUGUUACAAUUUCUCAUGCAAGACUGCCCGGAUAUACUGGGAGGAAGGUGGGGAUGACGUCAGAUCUGCAUGGUCCUUAUACCCUGGGCGACACAGGCGCUACAAUGGCAGAGACAAAGGGUUGCAAAACCGCAAGGUGAAGCUAAUCCCAAAAACUUUGUCUAAGUUCGGAUUGAAGGCUGCAAUUCGCCUUCAUGAAGCUGGAAUCGCUAGUAAUCGUGAAUCAGCCACGUCACGGUGAAUAUGUUCCCGGAUCUUGUACUCACCGCCCGUCACACCAAGAGAGUUGGUAGCUCCCGAAGCGUCCCGUUUUAGCGGGGCAUCACGGAGAGAUCAGCGAUAGGGGUGAAGUCGUAACAAGGUAACCAAGGGCGAA